rnacentral:snoRNA from 12 species
CAGGUGCUGGACCUACUAGCACCACAGAUACAGCUGCUUUGCUGCACCUGGGAUGUCAGGGCAAAGAGGAAGUGGCUAUUUCUACGCUCAGUGCUCAGAACAGUGGGCACUAAGAAUGGUUUGUAGCCAAACAUGC